rnacentral:tRNA from 1 species
CGUUCUAUGGCCGAACUGGUGAAGGCAUCGCCGAUUACAGGCGAUGGUGUGGGUUCGAGUCCCGCUGGAACAG